rnacentral:rRNA from 1 species
UUCGGGGACAAAGUGACAGGUGGUGCAUGGUUGUCGUCAGCUCGUGUCGUGAGAUGUUGGGUUAAGUCCCGCAACGAGCGCAACCCUUGAUUUUAGUUGCCAGCAUUUAGUUGGGCACUCUAAAGUGACUGCCGGUGCAAGCCGGAGGAAGGUGGGGAUGACGUCAAAUCAUCAUGCCCCUUAUGACCUGGGCUACACACGUGCUACAAUGGAUAGUACAAAGGGUCGCGAAGCCGCGAGGUGGAGCUAAUCCCAUAAAACUAUUCUCAGUUCGGAUUGUAGGCUGCAACUCGCCUACAUGAAGCCGGAAUCGCUAGUAAUCGUGGAUCAGCAUGCCACGGUGAAUACGUUCCCGGGCCUUGUACACACCGCCCGUCACACCACGAGAGUUUGUAACACCCGAAGUCGGUAGGGUAACCUUUAUGGAGCCAGCCGCCGAAGGUGGGACAGAUAAUUGGGGUGAAGUCGUAACAAGGUAGCCGUAUCGGAAGGUGCGGCUGGAUCACCUCCUUUCUAAGGAA